AAUAGAUACCCGGGUAGUCCACGCUGUAAACGAUGAUUACUGGUUGUUAGCGAUAUAUAGCUAGUGACUGAGCGAAAGCAUUAAGUAAUCCACCUGGGGAGUACGUCGGCAACGAUGAAACUCAAAGGAAUUGACGGGGGCCCGCACAAGCGGAGGAACAUGUGGUUUAAUUCGAUGAUACGCGAGGAACCUUACCUGGGUUUAAAUGGGGAGUGACAGGUGUCGAAAGAUGCUUUUCCUUCGGGACACUCUUCAAGGUGCUGCAUGGUUGUCGUCAGCUCGUGCCGUGAGGUGUCGGGUUAAGUCCCAUAACGAGCGCAACCCUUGCCGAUAGUUGCCAUCACGUAAAGGUGGGCACUCUAUCGGGACUGCCGGUGUAAACCGAGAGGAAGGUGGGGAUGACGUCAAAUCAGCAGGCCCUUACAUCCAGGGCUACACACGUGUUACAAUAGCCAGUACAGAGGGCCGNUACCCCGCGAGGGGAUGCCAAUCUCGAAAGCUGGUCUCAGUUCGAUGUAGACUUGACGAACCGUC
rnacentral:rRNA from 1 species